UACGUAGGGGGCAAGCGUUGUCCGGAUUCAUUGGGCGUAAAGAGCGUGUAGGCGGCCAGGUAGGUCGGUUGUGAAAACUGGAGGCUCAACCUUCAGAGGUCGACCGAAACCAUCUGGCUAGAGCCCGGGAGAGGAGAGUGGAAUUCCUGGUGUAGCGGUGAAAUGCGCAGAUAUCAGGAAGAACACCCGUGGCGAAAGCGGCUCUCUGGAACGGUACUGACGCUGAGACGCGAAAGCGUGGGGAGCGAACGGG
rnacentral:rRNA from 1 species